CUUGGUCAUUUAGAGGAAGUAAAAGUCGUAACAAGGUUUCCGUAGGUGAACCUGCGGAAGGAUCAUUAUUGAAGUAAACCUGAUAAGUUGCUGCUGGUUCUUUUGGGAGCAUGUGCACACUUGUCAUCUUUAUAUCUUCACCUGUGCACCUUUUGUAGACCUGAGUAUCUCUCUGGAUGCUUUUUAGCACUCAGGAUUUGAGGAUUGACUUUUUUGUCUCUUCUUCACAUUUUCAGGUCUAUGUUUCUUCAUAUACCCUAUGUAUGUUAAUAGAAUGUCAUUAAUGGGCCUUUGUGCCUAUACAAAUUACAACUUUCAGCAACGGAUCUCUUGGCUCUCGCAUCGAUGAAGAACGCAGCGAAAUGCGAUAAGUAAUGUGAAUUGCAGAAUUCAGUGAAUCAUCGAAUCUUUGAACGCACCUUGCGCUCCUUGGUAUUCCGAGGAGCAUGCCUGUUUGAGUGUCAUUAAUAUAUCAACCUUCUUUGGUUGGAUGUGGGUUUGCUGGCCUCUUGAGGUCAGCUUUCCUCAAAUGCAUUAGCGGACAACAUUUGCCAACCGUUUAUUGGUGUGAUAAUUAUCUACGCUAUUGACGUGAAGCAAGGUUCAGCUUCUAAAUGUCCAUUGACUUGGACAAAUUUAUUUUAUUAAUGUGACCUCAAAUCAGGUAGGACUACCCGCUGAACUUAAGCAUAUCAAUAAGCGGAGGAAAAGAAACUAACAAGGAUUCCCCUAGUAACUGCGAGUGAAGCGGGAAAAGCUCAAAUUUAAAAUCUGGCAGUCUUUGGCUGUCCGAGUUGUAAUCUAGAGAAGUAUUAUCCGCGCUGGACCGUGUACAAGUCUCCUGGAAUGGAGCGUCAUAGAGGGUGAGAAUCCCGUCUU
rnacentral:rRNA from 1 species